rnacentral:rRNA from 1 species
AUUGAACGCUGGCGGCAUGCCUUACACAUGCAAGUCGAACGGAUUUGAGGGGCUUGCUCCUCAAGUUAGUGGCGAACGGGUGAGUAAAGCAUCGGAACGUACCCAGUAGUGGGGGAUAACGUAGCGAAAGUUACGCUAAUACCGCAUACGACCUGAGGGUGAAAGCAGGGGAUCGCAAGACCUUGCGCUAUUGGAGCGGCCGAUGUCGGAUUAGCUAGUUGGUAGGGUAAAAGCCUACCAAGGCGACGAUCCGUAGCUGGUCUGAGAGGACGACCAGCCACACUGGGACUGAGACACGGCCCAGACUCCUACGGGAGGCAGCAGUGGGGAAUUUUGGACAAUGGGCGAAAGCCUGAGCCAGCCAUGCCGCGUGAGUGAAGAAGGCCUUCGGGUUGUAAAGCUCUUUCAGACGGAAAGAAAUCUUCUGGGCUAAUACCCCGGGAGGAUGACGGUACCGUAAGAAGAAGCACCGGCUAACUACGUGCCAGCAGCCGCGGUAAUAC